GACGAACGCUGGCGGCGUGCUUAACACAUGCAAGUCGAACGGAAAGGCCCUGCUUUUGUGGGGUGCUCGAGUGGCGAACGGGUGAGUAACACGUGAGUAACUUGCCCUUGACUUUGGGAUAACUUCAGGAAACUGGGGCUAAUACCGGAUAGGAGCUCCUGCUGCAUGGUGGGGGUUGGAAAGUUUCGGCGGUUGGGGAUGGACUCGCGGCUUAUCAGCUUGUUGGUGGGGUAGUGGCUUACCAAGGCUUUGACGGGUAGCCGGCCUGAGAGGGUGACCGGCCACAUUGGGACUGAGAUACGGCCCAGACUCCUACGGGAGGCAGCAGUGGGGAAUAUUGCACAAUGGGCGGAAGCCUGAUGCAGCUACGCCGCGUGCGGGAUGACGGCCUUCGGGUUGUAAACCGCUUUCGCCUGUGACGAAGCGUGAGUGACGGUAAUGGGUAAAGAAGCACCGGCUAACUACGUG
rnacentral:rRNA from 1 species